UAAUAUCCCUUGACCACUCUGGGGAUUGACAAACAAAUGCAAUUAUCAAUCCGUAGUGCACAUCUACAGAGAUAUAGACCCUUCGGCCGUCUAUUUUAAUAUUAUCUAUAAAAGACACCCUUAUCGUCUUCUAAAGAAUUAUUUACCUCCAGAUAUAGUCUUGUCUGAGAAGCAUGUGGGAAUCAAAUACUUGUUGCCCUCAAUCUCAUAUUUCUUGAACUUCUCAAUAUCUUUCUUCUUCAUGUCGCUAAAUGAUGAAAAAAUAAACAAUAGGACCUCAAGUGAGUUUAUAAUAUGGUUAUGACAUGUAAAAGACCUCUCCAACUUAUCCAUAUGAUUCUUCUCCGAAUGGCUACAUGAUGAGACGAAAAAUAGUUGGGACUCUUGAACUACUCAAUAUGCUCCUUAUCCAUGUGGCCACAGCGAUACGA
rnacentral:misc_RNA from 1 species